UAAUUGGAGAGUUUGAUCCUCGCUCAGGACGAACGCUGGCGGCGUGCCUAAUACAUGCAAGUCGAGCGGAGUUAUUUUGAAAGCUUGCUUUCAAAAUAACUUAGCGGCGGACGGGUGAGUAACACGUAGGCAACCUGCCCCUUAGACUGGGAUAACUACCGGAAACGGUAGCUAAUACCGGAUAAUUUCUUUUUUCUCCUGAAGAAAGAAUGAAAGACGGAGCAAUCUGUCACUGAGGGAUGGGCCUGCGGCGCAUUAGCUAGUUGGUGGGGUAACGUCCCACCAAGGCGACGAUGCGUAGCCGACCUGAGAGGGUGAUCGGCCACACUGGGACUGAGACACGGCCCAGACUCCUACGGGAGGCAGCAGUAGGGAAUCUUCCGCAAUGGACGAAAGUCUGACGGAGCAACGCCGCGUGAGUGAUGAAGGUUUUCGGAUCGUAAAACUCUGUUGUUAGGGAAGAACAAGUACCGUUCGAAUAGGGCGGUACCUUGACGGUACCUAACCAGAAAGCC
rnacentral:rRNA from 1 species